CACCCAGCCUCCAUGCGGCUCGACUCUACUUCCCCAUCUUCCGUCGGCCGAGCCAUCCGGUCCUCCCUUCCUGCCCCUAGCCGAACUCCUCCGCUUUCCCCCAAAUCAGAAUCUCGGCACGCCAUGACCUCCUCUUACCGGCCGGCCGCCACGACGAGCCCGGAGGCGACGGCGCCAGUACCCAAGGUGGAGGCCGAGGCGGCGGCGACGGCGGCCCGAAACCCUAGCUCCCCCAGCGGCCCGCCGUCGCCGGAGAUGGAGGCCACGGCGGAGGCGCUCACGCGGGAGGAGGUGCUACGCAGGAGGCGCCGACGCACGGCGCGGCUCGUUGGCGUGUACCGACGGCUGUACUGGGCGAUGGCAGAGGAGGUGCGCGCGCGGCACCGGCAGUACGUCUGGGAGCUCGGCCGCAGUCCGCUCGAGGCCGAGCAGCCCCCGUCGGCCGCGUGCUCGGAGGCGAAGCCUGGGCCGGCGGCGGUGCCGAGGAGGAAGAAGUGUGGGUUCACGGGCUGCAAGGUGCGGGCGAUGCCUAUGGCCAAGUACUGCCACUCCCACAUCCUAUCCGAUCCCAAUCAGGCCCUGUACAAGGGAUGUGGUCAAAUCAUCAAGAGUGGUGCACAGAUUGGGCAAAUUACUUGCAGCAGGCCCAUCCUAAAAGCUUCAGUUCCCUCCCUCUGCAAUGUUCACUUGCAAAGAUCUCAGAAGAACAUAUCACAGGCUUAUAAGAAAGUUGGAUUUAAUCCACCCCCUACUGGCCAGAUCUCCCCAGAUUUUAGUGUCUUAGUUGCUGAAUGUGUCCGUCAGAUCCAGGCCAGGAGGAGAGAAUCCCGAAGUGUUGCAGCAGGGAAGAAAUGCCCCAAAGAUGGGAAAGUUGGCUGAGCUCCCUGAGAUCUCAUUUGUUACAUAAACUGUAGGAAAAUGUCAGGCAUCCUGAGGUUUACCGAGUGUUGAUAACUAACCCUGCGGGUUACUGCACUCUUCCUUGAAAGAUAUGGAAUAUUGAAAAUAUAUGUGGCCUGCAGCUGUGCAUGACUGGAUGACAACAUGACCCUGAUGGUUGUCAGUUAACAGCAAAUUUCAUAUGAAGAGUUUAUCCAACGAGCUAGUGGUGGAGUGUCAAGUAUCAAGGUUGAGCACACAUGUCAGGAGAGCAUUUAUGUAUCAAAAUGCUUCUGAUGACUUGCACACAUGUCAAGUAUCAAAAUGCACACAUGUCAGGAGAGCAUUUAUGUAUCAAAAUGCUUCUGAUGACUUGCUGAACAUGCUGCAGGACUGCCAUGGUUAAUUUUAUUCAUCUUCUGAUGGUAAUUUAUCCUAAAUGAAGGCCUGAGUUAGAUAUACUGGGUCGGUUCAUUGCCAACUGCCGAUUUUGAAGAACAUGGUGAGUUGUGAAGCGUGUUCAGGUUUCACGUCCUGAAUUGGUUUUAAACUGAGUGCCUCUUUUGAAGUAAAUAAUAUGCUUUUUUCAGCUUCGUAAUGUAUACCGUGUGAUGGCUGUCCUGUUAUUCAGCUUGGUGUUUCUUUAGAUAUGUUAUUGGUAAAUGUCCACCUUGUGAAGUAUACAUCGUUCCUAUUUUUCCAGAUGAAAUCUUCACCUUGUUUACGGCACAUACUUCUCCAGAAAGGAUUGAGAUUGUUGCUUUGUGCCAAGGAUGCUAUGGGGACGGUGGUUUUGUGCCAAUCCUGAAGGAGCCAUUCAAAUAAGGUACUAUGAGGAGAGAAUAGCAUGUACAUGUUGAUGCUUAUGACAUGGAUGAGGAGAGGGCAUGUACAUGUUGAUGUUUACUUUUGCCUGAUUUAGUUGGAAUGGUUGCAUUGUACGAAAGAUGGUCCACAUAGAGGACCCUGCAAGCAGUAUGAGAUGUCGCUGCAUUGCUGAUAUUGAUGCAAGGGAGGAGCUGUACAUACAAAGGAUAGUUGCCUGGUACUGCAAUCAAAUUUCGUAGUAUCUUCGUUGCAUGAAUAGUUACUUAUGAAGUAGCAGCAACACAUGAAUGUCAUGCUUAAGCUUAUAUCAAAUGCUCUGAGAUAGAGGACAGGAUGUGGAUAUCGGCAGACAUUGGAUGGCCUGGAACUACGACGUGACUAAGGAACUGACGCAAUUGUUCAUCUAAAAAAUGAGAACGGUAUUACUGGCCAUGUGAUUAGAGUAUGACAUUGCAUGUGUGCAUGUGUGGAUGGGAAAAAGGAAGAUAUUACAAACUGAUUUACAGACUAAACCAUUAGGGCCUUUCAUAUUCCAUUUUCAUUGAAGUUCAUCGUUAGUUUUGUAUCGUCAAGCUCUAAUCAUCGUUACUGAAGUUAACUAUGUUGAUAUCAAGUUGCCGUGUAGCAACUUUUGUUACCAAUGCGUAGUAACUUCCAUGAAAAAAGGGGGCAACUUUGAAGGUGAAAAAAGCUGUUGAAACAUAGCAAACAUGAGGUCCAGUAUUGAAGAUCAAUGUAAAUUCGAGCAACUCACUUUGUCGUUUCAGUAGUACUCCCUUUGUAAAGAAAUAUGAGAGUGUUUAGGUCACUUAGUGAUCUACACGUAUUUUUCUACAUAGAAAUAGCAUAUUUCGAUGAUUUCAGUAAUACAAUAAAUAUAAAAGCAGUGAUCUAAACGCUCUGUCAGGCCUGGUAACUGUUGGUGAUCACCUAAUGAAGCACAGUGACAUUGAGUUUGCCUGGUUGCGUGUCAGCCGUCGAUCUACGAUCCAAUGAAGCUUAGAAGAACUUACCGCUUCGCUGCCGAGCUGCGAUUUCAGCCGUAGAUCUCCAUCUAGACGGUUCAGAUCGUUGUCAACUUACUUAUAAAAAGUUACUGCUUUUCUUUACCUGUUGAACCUG
rnacentral:rRNA from 1 species